rnacentral:tRNA from 1 species
GCCUGGUUGGCUCAGUCAGUUAAGCAUCCAACUUCAGCUCAGGUCAUAAUCUCAGAGUCCGUGAGUUCAAGUCCCACAUCAGGCU